UACGAAGGGAGCUAGCGUUGUUCGGAUUUACUGGGCGUAAAGGGCGCGUAGGCGGUUAUACAAGUCAGAUGUGAAAGCCCUGGGCUUAACCCGGGAAUUGCAUUUGAAACUGUAUGGCUAGAGUGUGGGAGAGGUAAGUAGAAUUCCCAGUGUAGAGGUGAAAUUCGUAGAUAUUGGGAAGAAUACCAGUGGCGAAGGCGGCUUACUGGACCACAACUGACGCUGAGGCGCGAAAGCGUGGGGAGCAAACAGG
rnacentral:rRNA from 1 species